GCAAGUUAAUGCAAGAAGAAGAGGAAUCAUCACAUUUAACCCAGAAACCUUAAAGAGAAAAGGGUUGUAAACUGACAAAGUCAACUACAGAAGUUUACCAAAGACCAGUAAGCAGAAGGUGACAGGAAAAGAUUUUGUAUUAAAGAAAAGAGCUGACAUCUCUCAUGGAGUUUGAAAAUAACUUGUGUUUUUGGCUGCAUGCUGAGAACCAAUCUUUUAAAACCUUCCAUUUAAUAACUACUGACUAGAAAGAAAAGCAUCCAUGACAAGGAACUAAAAAAAAAAAUAGAAUACAAUAAAGCGUUUUGGCAUAAGCUGGAGAAAAGAGCAUUCAGUAUAAGGAUGCAAGAAUCACAGAAGCAUCCAGCUUGGAAGAGGCCUUCAAGAUCAUCUAGUCCACUGUAUUCCUAGCAUCACCAUGACCACCCCUAAACCAUAUCCACAUCCAGUGCCACAUACAGAUGCCUUUUGAACAUUUCCAGAGGCGGUGACUCCAUUAUCUUUAUAGGCAAUUUAUUCAAAUAUCUGAACAUUCUUUUAGUGACUUUUUAUCCUUCAUAUUUAAUCUGAACUUUGUCUGAUCCUCUUCUUCUUCAAACUUAACAACCCCAGUUCUCUCAGCCACUCCUCAUGACUUGUGCUCCAACUCCUUCACCAGAUUCAUUGGCCUUCUCUGAACUUGUUCCAGCACCUCACUGCUGUUUUUGAGCUGAAUGGUCCAAAACUGAACACAGUGCCCUCUACGUGUGGCCUCACCAGUGCGGAGAAGAGAGACAAUCACUUUUGUCAUCCUGCUGGCCACACCCUUCUUGAUAAAAGCCAAGGUAUGGACUCUCCUGGCCACCUGGGCACACUGCAGACUCAUGUACAGCCAGCUUCCAGCCAGCAGCCCCAAGCUCCUUCCUGCUGAGCAUUUCUCAAGCUACUCUUCCACAAGUCUGGAGUGUUGCAUAGGGUUGUUGAAAUACAAGUGCAGGACCUGACACUUGACCUAACUGGACAUCAUGCUGUUGUCCUCAGCCCAUUGAUCCAGUCUGUCUGGAUCUCUCUGUAGAGACUUCCUAUUCUCAAGCAGAUCAACACUUUGUUUGUAUUAGCAACCUAAAUUUAAAUUACGCCAGAUUGUCUUUAGCACCUGCUUUUACUUUUCACUGUACUCACUGUGACCCUCAGCUGGUGUCAUGCUUUCUUCAAACCCAGAUCAUUAUUGAAAUGUCACUUUGCAUAAUCGCUAUAUAUAUAUAAUUGUUUCAUAUAAGCCAAAUUUGGGGUUUUUGUAGCUUUUUCUUUUCCAAAGAAAAAUACAACUGCACUAUAACAAGUACUCUUUUGGCAAAUUUUGACAUUUUUGUGAAGACAUUUUUCCUACACUGCGCAGGCCAGGGACAGUUCAACACCUCAGUAAUUCCACCACAGUAUGUUUGCUCAGCUCACAGACCUCAAGAGUCCUGAUCCCUAAGAUUGGACUUUUGCACAGUGAUAUGCACACACCUUCCUUUUCUCACAACAUCCUUUGGAACUGUGUAUGCUUUAUUUCUCUGCAUAAAAAUCUCAAAGCCUCAGAAGCUGUAUACAUAAAAUAUCAGCAUUGUUUCAGUUGGCUAGACAUUGCACACACUUCUCUUUAUGUCUACAAAUGAAUUUUCACCUUUUUUUCCCUUUCACCCUCCAUAGUCUUUGAAAUAUGUUGAGUCAGCUUAGCCACAGGGUGCUUAUAGAUCUAUUUGGAAAUUAGUGAUAUAAAUAUUAAAAAGUCAUAACUCCCUAAAAGUUUUGGGGUGUUUUUCUCAUUAAUUAUGCUCCAGG